UACGAAGGGUGCAAGCGUUAAUCGGAAUUACUGGGCGUAAAGCGUGCGUAGGCGGUUGUCUAAGUCAGAUGUGAAAGCCCCGGGCUCAACCUGGGAAUGGCAUUUGAUACUGGGCGGCUAGAAUGUGGUAGAGGAAGGCGGAAUUCCCGGUGUAGCGGUGAAAUGCGUAGAUAUCGGGAAGAACACCAAUGGCGAAGGCAGCCUUCUGGGCCGACAUUGACGCUGAGGCACGAAAGCGUGGGGAGCAAACAGG
rnacentral:rRNA from 1 species